rnacentral:lncRNA from 1 species
GUAUUAUUUUCCCCUUUCCCCUCACUUCCUCUUGUAUGAAAUUUUGUAUAACCCUGAGGGUCUCCUUCCAUUUCCAUGCAAUUUCCCUUCUCUCUCCCUUUCCCUCCCACCUCUCAUCCCAGUUUAAUGUUAAGUGUGCAUUGGAGGAGUGACAGCCAGGCUGAGGGCAGAGGGACCCCUCGCCCAGCCUCACUCCUGCACCCCUGGUCUGUCUCCCAGCAGCCCGCAGUAGCUCACAGGGAAGAAUCUGCAGGGCAGCUCUCAGAGGCCGGGUGAGCACUGUCCCCUGGGAAGAGGGAGAGAAAAGAUAAGCCAGUGCAACGGGGUCCAAAUGACCACUCCACCAUGUCCCUUGACAGCGCAUGGGUGUGACCUACUAUUUUUCUUCUCAGUGGCCACCAGGCAAAGAAAGCCUGCUCAGGAAAGGAGUGGGAAGGGGGCAGCCCCUCAGUUCUAGGCUCCUGCCACUGUAUACCUUGAGACCCUCCGAUAGCCUAGGGGGGUGACAUCACUGUGCCUUUUCACAAGGCACAGAAAAGUCAAGGACUUCAGUGAUCACAGGCUUGGACACAGCAAAACAUGGACUCGACCCUCAGCCCCUGCCCUUUCCACAACAGGACAAAUAAAGGUGCGAAGCCGUGGGAGGUGGUGGGUUGGGACGAAGGCUUGACUGGGGGUCCAGGGGCAAAUCCUGGCUCUGCAGGUCCUCCCUGUAGAGGCUGCUACUGCUCCAAAGUCUGAACCUUCUCAGCCUUCCGGGCCUCUGAGGUUGCCAGGAACUACAAGGCAGCUAAGGAGCAGUGGGCAGAUGUUGGGACCUCCACUGAGCCUUUCUAAGAGGAGCAGGAGCCUUCUGUGUACAGCCUUCCACCCUCCUGUUGGAAAGUGGAUGUAAGGAUGGAUGCUUUGGCAACCACCUUGGACCAUUAGGAUUGCGUUACAUCUAAGGGACCAGGGAUUGGAGAGCAGGGAGAACUCUGAGGAGCUGUUUCCUAGCCAUGAACUUUUUAUACAACACAAUUUUUUCUUUCUUUCUUUCUUUGCAAUACUAAGGAUUGAAUCUAGGAGUGCUCUACCACGGAGCUAUACCCCCCAGGCCUUUUUAUUCUCUUUUUUUUUUUUUUUUUGAGACAGGGUCUCUAAGUCAACCCAAGGCAUUAUGGGAGUUAAAUAACAACACUGAUUGCGCACCUGCUACCUACCAGGGCUUUCCUAAGCACGCCACAGGCACUGACACGACAAGCCCUGAAAGCCAACCCGCAGAGGGGGCGCUCUUGCCAUUUACCAUUUACAAAUAAGCCUGCAUUAGGUGAUUUACGUUCAGCUGUGGGGGGCAGGAUCUCCAGGCUGACAAAGACGCGCCAGCGGUCUGCUGAGCGGGGCACACCGAGGCUCCGCUGCCUGAGGUCCCUGCCCAUCACCGGGGGCUUCUCGGAGCUGUGCUCUUCCCCCCAUGUCCACGCGGGCGCGCCACGAUGCAGCAGUCCAGAAAUGGAACGUCUAACAACAAACAGUGAAUCCGAGAAGGAAGGAUUCCCGGAAGCUAACACGGGAAAUUUCGCCCUCGGUCCCAGGGGGCAGGACGGGCACCCGUGGCCAUGGAUGGCGGCAAGGGAGGGGCAGUGUCGCCUUCAUUCUGGACUGUCACGUGCGCGGCUCAGACUGCUGCACCUGGGAGACGCGACCACAAGGAGGUUAAACACCGACCUCGGGCUCUGCAGUAGCGGCACAGCGUGGGCCGAAAGGCAGGGUCCCGCUGCACAGUCCCCCAGGCCACCCGCUAGGCCAGGCUCCGCCCACUGUGUUUCUUUGAAAAUAAAGUUUCAUGGAAACACGGCCACGCCCCUUUUCUCACAAAAUCCCCCGCUGCUUUCGAAAUGGACCAGCAGAGGUGAGGAGUUUCCAGUCCACCUGGAAGCCUUUCCCUCUGACGGCCGAGGACUCCAACCCCGCUCUCCACCGACGGCCGCAGUGACAUAAAGUACCUGAAGCAGUGGGCGCAGCCCCUGACCAAGAACGUUCGAAAAACACUGAGAUUCUGCCGGUGCCAUCACUGAGAGCAGGCUUGGCCUCAGGACUGGCAGGUGCUCUUCCAAGGAGACGCAGAGAUCCCACUGCCAACAUGGGAGAUGGGCAAACGCCCUGGAGCCCUCCACAGCUCUCCCCCCUUUGCCUGCUGCCAGCAGACGGGGAGGGCGGUGACCGCUGCUGGCUCCCUGACUGUGGAAUAGCUGGUGUCUCCUGCCAAACCAAGCCUGUGUUUUGCAGGGUUGGGGACAGACUGAAAUUGCAGCUAUUUUUCAAUGCCUCGAAUAUGUGUGGGCGAGCACAAGUUAAAAAAGAGAAUCUAUUGACAAAAGGAUUCUAAAGUUCAGCAAGAAGAGGAAGCUGAAAAAAAAAUAGCCAAGAAAAGUUUGAAAAAGAACAGAACAGCAUAAAAGGUAAGCUGAUCUGCUGGGAAUUUCAGAUUGUAAUAUCUCAUUUAAACCUCGUAUAAUCCCAUAAAGUAGAGACUAUUAAUAAACCGCCCCCCCCCCCUUUUUGACAGUAUUGGGGAAUUAACCCAGGAGCACUCUACCACUUUGAUACAUCCCCAGCCCUUUUUGAUUUUUAGUUUGAGACAAGGUAUCACUAAGUUGCCUGGCUGACUCAAAACUUGUGAUUCUCCCACCACUGAGAGGACAGGCAUGCAUAAACACGCCAGACCUAUGUACGCCACUUUGGAGAUAAGUAAACUGAGGUUCAGACACAACAAAGGAUCUCCAAGGGUUGUAGGUGUAGACACCUCUGUUGCUAUGGAUACGUCCAAAGUGAAGCAUUCAGGGGAAAGUAAGAGUGGGAAGAACAGCACACGCACAGGCCUGUGGGACUGACACCCCCACCUGUGCCUGUUCCCGUACCACAGAAGGCUGCAGAGGGAACGAAAGUUCAGGGUGGCCACCAUUAAAGAUGAUGACAGCCACCUAAACACCCUCCACACAUGGCAGACGAGGCUGAGUAGAAUACCUAACACCAGGUAUCUGUUCCUUGGUUCCUCCUGUGUGCGGAGCCCAUGUUAAGUACCUGUAUAUAAAUUCUCAUUUAAUUCUUUUCGUAACCUAUAGAUAUGUUGUGGUUUAGAUAUGAAAUAUCCCCCCAAAGCUCACAUGGCCAUGCAGGAUUGUUCAGGGGUGAACCAGUUAGAAUAUGAGAGCUGUAACCUAAUUGGUGGAUUAAUACAUUUGAUGAUUAAUAAUUUGAAUGGACGACUGGAUGGUAACCCUAGGUAGUUAGGGUGUGGCUAGAGGAAGCCGGUCACUAGGGGGAUGGACCCUUGGAUGCCCCCGCCCUCCCUCUCUCUCCCAGCUGCCAUGAGCUGAAUAGCUUUUCUAUGCCACACCCUUCCACCAUGAUGUUCUUCCCCACCUCCUCCUGGAGCAGUGAAGCCAGCCAGCCAUGGACUAAACCUCUGAAACUGUGAGCUGAGAUCAACUCUUCUUCCUCCAAGUUGCUAUUGCUGAGUAUUUUAGUAUUAGCAAUGAAAAACUGGCUAACACGAGGUGAUCUUACUACCGCCCAUUACCAAUGGUGAACCUGAGCCUCACAGAUGUUAAGUAAUAGUUCCAUUGUCCCAGAGCAAGAACUGAAACUGAAAGCUGAGCUUUCUACUCAAAGCCCAGGAUGUGUAGGAUUCAGUUCAAUUCAACAGACAUUUUUUUUGAGCACCCAUUUUGUGCGAAAAACUCUCCUGGGUGUUGAAAAAUAGCAAUGAUAACUGGAGUAGGUCUCGGCAUCCAGAGUUCCUGCUGGGGUCCCCAGGACCUAGGAAGAAAAGGGGAGGGUUACAAAAAUUAUAUAUUAAGGACAUUUGACAGGUGUGGAAUCAACAAGACAAGUAAGCUGAUACUUCAGGCAGGGAAGAACCAGUCAGAGUUGAGAAGUGGAGAAACUCCAAGUUCUCAGUCACAAGCCAGGUUCAAGGGCAGGUAGGAACCAGAGGUCAAAUGAACCCAACUGAACUGGAGUUCAGCUCGGGAAAGAUUUCUGGUAGAAAAUAACAGAAUCCAUGGCUUCUAUGGACUUUUUAUACAAAAUGGCCAGCUUACAUUUUUAAAAGCAUUCCGUGACAUUCAAAGAGGUAGAAGACUUGAUCAUAAGUAGAAGAAAACAAUAGACAACAGGAGAUCCAUAGAUGUCAUGAACUUUAGAGUUCAUCAACAAGGACUUUAAAGCAAUUAAUAUUCAUAUGUUUAAUUAGAAGAAUUAAUGCACAAACAUAAUGUCUCAAAUUGAGAACUCACUGGAUAUGUGUUUAAAAGCAGAAUGGAUACAACAGAAUACAAAAUUAGUGAACCUGAAGGUAGAUCAAUAAAAACUAUCUAAACAGAAGCACUCAGGAGACAAAAAAUAAGAUGGAAAAAGCAGAACAGAGCUAAGCAGGCUUGUGGAACAUGCUCCAAAGGCCUCUUGUGUGUGACUGGGAUCCUAGGAAAGAGACUGGGGGCUGAAGUCGCAUUAGAAAAGGUAGUGGCUCUUCUCAGAAGAUGAUAUACAGUUGAUCAACAAAUAUGCAAAAAUGUUCAACAUCUCUAAUUUGCAAUUAGAGAAAUGCAAAUCAAAACUACUGUAAGAUUUCCUCUCACUCCAGUCAGAAUGGUAGUCAUCAAGAAUACAAGCAACAGUAAGUGUUGGCCAGGAUAUGGGGGGAAAGGCACACUCAAACAUUCCUGGUGGGACAGCAAAUUUGUGCAACCGAUCUAGAAAGCAGUAUGGAGAUUCCUUGGAAAACUUGGAAUGGAACCACCAUUUGACCCAGCUAUCUCACUCCUUGGUCUAUACCCAAAGGACUUAAAAACAACAAUACUUCAGGGACACAGACACAUCAAUGUUUAUAGCAGCACAGUUCACAAUAGCCAAACUGUGGAACCAACCUAGAUGCCUUUCAAUAGAUGAAUGGAUAAAGAAAC